AAAAACGUAAACAACGCAACGUGAAUUCAACGUGAUCUAGUUUCCAUUAAAAAUAACAGCGCGCGCCCAAUCGUAGACCUCCCUAUUUUUAGCACAAUCUAUCCGAGAGACAAAGCGCUGCAGUGCGAGAGAGAAAGAGAGCGAGCGAGCGAGCGAGAGAGAGAGAGAGAGAGAGAGUGCGAAGAACUGAAGUUCAUGGCCAGGAUGCGUAAGCCAUGUUAGGCAGCUGCCAAUGAACUGCAAGAGCCAUUGCACAGUGGCACAAAAGCGUCAAUUGAAUUUGCAGAAUAAACUU